AUUACCAAAAUGUGACAGAGACAUGAAGUGGGCAAACGAUGUUAGCACCAACAGACUAGCUCUGAGUUUUGUCCAGCUGCAGUGACCUGAUCUUGUUAAGAAAGCAAAUGUCUGCAUGGUGCUUUUUCUAGGCGUGGGGUUCCUGACAGAGAAAAGGAAGGGUUGGUUAGAAGGCAGAGGCCAGAGGUUAUGUCCUGAGGGUGGAAUCGGGAGUGAGGGGCUCUGCCCUGUGAACUUCUGAGCAUGUAAACUGGCCUAGGACAGGGAAAGAACCUCCUUCUUUCCCUCAUGAUCAAUUAAUUCACUCACUCAUCCAUUGACUCAGCAGUCCCAAAGCACCCACAGCUUGACCCAGACCAGACCAGGGUCCCAGCACCCACAGGAGGAGGUGGGUCAGCAAACAGACACCCCUGUGGUAUGAUCGCCCAUGCUUUGCAGACCUCACCUUUGGACACUUGCCUGGGACGCUGUCUGAAGAUGUUUGAACAUAGCGUCCCCAAGGAGCAGAGUGACCCGGCCCAUGCGCAGAUGCAGAACCACUGGAUUCUUUUUCACAGAUGCUCUUGGCUCUGCACAGAUAGAUUAGGUGGACAGAAAGAACUAGGAGCCUUCCUGCUGUGCCCCGGGGAGGUGCAUAAAGGCUUGCUCUGGUGGGAGCCCUCUGCGUGUGGACACUCACGACCAAGCGGGUGCCAAACAUCUGAACAAACUUGGGAAGCUUGCUGGACCACCAGCCCACCAUUCUUCUGGAUUACUCCUCCCAAAGCUAAGACUUGCUGACCAUUGAAACCCUUGGAAUUUGCAUCUGGACACAGGAAUCAAGCCAGGGCUGCCAUCCCGCAGGGCACAGACCGCAGGGAGCAACUGAUUUCCAUAUCCUGUUCUUGCAAGGCCAGAAAUGCCUCCCCCCAGUAUUUCUAGCCAACUAAUUGAAAUACCACUAAUUCCAUCAAUGAAAGACCGUUUCUGAUGUGUUAUGCUAAUUAACAAAGCCAUGAUUUAAUCAAUGGAAACCCAUCUGUGACAUCUUUUCUGCUAAUUAGCAAAACUGCAGAUUGAUUUGGGUGACAAUUGCUGGAGGAAGCAUCUCUGGACUGUGGCCUUUCAUUACCUGCCGGUAACCUCUGCUGAGGUUCAUACUCCCCAUUAGAGCAACUGGCUGUCCUCUCGGUGGGGAUUAGAAUGAAGACACCCAUUCAUAGCACGCUUAGGAAACCCACUGCCCAUUUGCCUGGAAUCUUCCUGAUUUUAGCACUGAAGUUCCCACAUUCUGGGAAAAUCCCAGUACCAGGCAAGCCCAGACGUUCAAGGCUGAAAUAUUUCAAAUUUUAGACAAGUGUACUAUCUUAAUGGCACAAAUGUUGAAGCUUGACCUUGAAUAGCUAAAAAUGUGUGGGAUAUGGGAUAGGGCCCCGGAUACAGUGAGACAGGCCAGGAGGCAGCACAGGACUACUGCAGAGACGGGGCUGGGGGUCCUGGGGUCCUGGGGUGGGAGCAGACCCUACAGAAAAGGCACUGGAGAAUGCGAACCGAGGACCACGGAGCAGGAAGGAGGCAGGAAGGCAGAGCCCUGGGCAGAGAGGAGAGCAGACGGUGCUUGGUACCUGAUCCCUGCAGCCCCACCCAGCCUCCUUGGCAGGCUUGUCGGAGCCUGCCCUGGGCACUGGGUGCUCGACUCCAUUCCCUCUCACAGGACCGCCCUUAGCCUUGGGACAGCCUCUUACCUCUGAGUGUCCUUCCAUAGCUGUGAGAGCAGUGGACCCACUGCUUCCUGCCUCCAAGACCAGGUGGGAGGCCUGGAGUGUUUGUUUUCCUGGACUCCCACCCACCUUACUUUCCUGCAGACUCACCUGGUCUCAGGAGACCCAGUGCAUCCCCUGGCUAGGCAGGCCUGUCCCAGACCUUCUGUCAUGGGCUCUGGGGCUCCUCUUCUCUCACAGGACCCUGGCUUUAUGCUCUCCGCCUUGACAGAGAUACACCCGUGAUGGAGACGGGCCCCUUUGUGCAGCAGGACCCAACAUUGCUGUUACAAAGGGAAAGAAAGAAAUGGCGCCAGAGACAGAGGGCAGGCCAGACCGGGAAGCUCCAGCUCCCCUGGGGGAAGGGUAGGCUGCCACCUUCUCUACUCCACCUCUGCUUUAUACUGAAUUGUCAUUCAGGACCCUGGUGGGCCUCUGGUAUGAUGGGAAAUGCAGGCUGGGGGUCAGUGGUCUGGGGUUUCGUCUCCAACCCUACGUAAAGCAGGUGUGUGAGACACAUCCUGUCCUGCAACCCCACCUCAACCCCCCAGUAGCACUGAGAGGGGCAGAUCAUUCUCUUGACGUCUCAGAUGAGGUCUUAGGCACAGAGAGGUUCGGAUACUGUCUGGAGGACAUAGCAAAUACAUGGUAGAGCUAGAAAGCUGUCGAGGAGUUCUGGCCCGGCUGCCUCCCCUGGCCUCCCUUCUCCUGCUGCUUCUUUGUUGCAGGGAAAGGAGUGGGGGAGUAACACAGGGGGAGGGCGUGGCGGCCCACACAGUGCCUCCCCGGUCAGCAGUGGGUCACUUAGAUGGCAAGUGUGCACCCUGAAAUCUACCUGCUUGCCUGGUCCUAUGUCCACCCCCAUCUCCAGAAGGAAAAGCAGGAGCAUCCUAGGGAAGCUGAAUCCUCCGUGGCACCCUCAGAUCAAAAAGGCCCUCGGCCACUGUAUGGGCUGAGCAGUGAGCCCCCAAAUACAUCUGCUGCGGUCCCAACCCCUAUUUCCUACGUUGUCACUGAUUUGAGAUGCAACCUUUAAAGAGGUGACUAAGUUCAAAUGAGGAGGGCACUAAGCCAAGGUGACAGAUGUCCUUGAAGAGGAGGACUCGGGGACACACACAGGGACGGCAGGCCUCGCCAGGGGUCGAGCACAGAGGGAAGACCCCGCAGGACAGAGCAAGAAGGCGGCCACCCCUGGGCCUUGGCCUUGUAGCCCCCAGACCCGGAGGGAGUCAGGCCUGGGGACGGGCUCCAGGAGUGGGCGGCCUCGUUCGGAAGCCUGGGCAAAGGAGGCGUCCCUCUCGCGGAGGGUCUGCUUUCUCUGAUGAUUCAAGUCCGUCCUGGAGGACGUUUCUCAAACCAUCUGUGUAAGAAAAAUUUUAGCCGAAAUAAGCAGGCGAAGAGGGGCAACAAAGGGCCAGGUAGUUUAUUUGAGUGCCACUCCCUGGUGAUGUUCCCUGGUCUGGGUAUCACAGGCCGGGGAAGUCACACCCGGUCAGGGAGGUGGGGGCUUCUAAGGGGUUAGGAGG